UAUUUUCUUUCUUUUCCUUUCCUUCUGUCAUCUGCUUCCUUUCCCCACCUCUUCUUUCUUAUUUGGAUUCUCCAGGCGAUAUGCUACUGUGGCGAUUCAGUCGGUGGCGGGUCAGCCUCAAUUUCAUAACAUUUUAAGGGAUUGCUGUUGGUGUUCAUCGACGGUCGUGGUGGGUCGGAGGUGCCAUGGUGAUGUGAAGAAAUAGAGAAAAAGGAAUAUAGUCAUCACUUGCUGAUACCGACGACAAUCCGUUUUCUGCAUUAGCCAGAUUGAAUGACUUCAAAGGAGUUUUAUACACAACAGUACCAAGGCCAUCGGCUACUUUUGACAUGUUCCCUUCUUGGCCUAUGAGAGUUCAUCAAACCCCAAGAGUAGGUACUUGCUGAUAUGGUUCUUUUUGCUCAACCUCCAAAUCUGGUCUCAUGUAAGCAGUAGGAAAUAAUCGUGAAGAAAAUUUGAUUUUAACAGUUUUGGACCAAACUG